GACGAACGCUGGCGGCGUGCUUAACACCUGCAAGUCGAGCGGAGCGGCGAACGGGUGAGUAACGCGUCAGUAACUGCCCCCCUCUCUGGGAUAACAGUUGGAAACGCAUGCUAAUACCCGCACGUGGGGGAUGACUCGCGUCCUAUCAGCUUGUUGUUGGGUUAGUGGCCGACCAAGGCGACGACGGGUAGCCGGCCUGAGAGGUCGACCGGCCACAUUGGGCUGAGAUACGGCCCAAACUCCUACGGGAGGCAGCAGUGGGGAAUAUUGCACAAUGGGGGAAACCCUGAUGCAGCAACGCGCGUGCGGGAUGACGGCCUUCGGGUUGUAAACCGCUUUCAGCCAUGACGCGGUAGUGGCAGAAGAAGCACCGGCUAACUACGUGCCAGCAGCCGCGGUAAUUC
rnacentral:rRNA from 1 species